rnacentral:rRNA from 1 species
GAUGAACGCUGGCGGCGUGCCUAAUACAUGCAAGUCGAGCGAACAGACGAGGAGCUUGCUCCUCUGACGUUAGCGGCGGACGGGUGAGUAACACGUGGAUAACCUACCUAUAAGACUGGGAUAACUUCGGGAAACCGGAGCUAAUACCGGAUAAUAUAUUGAACCGCAUGGUUCAAUAGUGAAAGACGGUUUUGCUGUCACUUAUAGAUGGAUCCGCGCCGCAUUAGCUAGUUGGUAAGGUAACGGCUUACCAAGGCAACGAUGCGUAGCCGACCUGAGAGGGUGAUCGGCCACACUGGAACUGAGACACGGUCCAGACUCCUACGGGAGGCAGCAGUAGGGAAUCUUCCACAAUGGGCGAAAGCCUGACGGAGCAACGCCGCGUGAGUGAUGAAGGUCUUCGGAUCGUAAAACUCUGUUAUUAGGGAAGAACAGAUGUGUAAGUAACUAUGCACGUCUUGACGGUACCUAAUCAGAAAGCCACGGCUAACUACGUG